rnacentral:lncRNA from 1 species
AUGUUCAGUCCCUGUUAUCAUGGCACAGUUUGGUUUGCUCUCCGCUGUCUGAUUCUGUUCUGCUGUCUUCUGUCUUACUCCUCUUCUCCUGGAAUGUCCUCUUCCACUGGAAUUGUCUCCUCAUCAUUGAACUUUCUGGCUGCAGUCAUGUUGUCUGAUGAAAUUCUAUCAGGUAUCUCUUUCUUCUUCUUCUGGAACUCUUUCUUCUUCUUCUGCUUCCCUGGGAACUAGCUUAAUCUGUGAGCAAUGGAGCCAAGAUUCAGGAAUCCUUGACCCCAAAAACCAUUAAAACGGAGACUAAUAAAUUAUUGAACUUUUUACUCUCA